CGGGGUGCUGCAGCAGUGAGGAAUAUUGCACAAUGGGGGGAACCCUGAUGCAGCAACGCCGCGUGGAGGAUGACGCAUUUCGGUGUGUAAACUCCUUUUAUAUGUCAAGAAAAUGACGGUAGCAUAUGAAUAAGCACCGGCUAACUCCGUGCCAGCAGCCGCGGUAAUACGGAGGGUGCAAGCGUUACUCGGAAUCACUGGGCGUAAAGGACGCGUAGGCGGGUUGGAAAGUCAGGUGUGAAAUCCUACAGCUUAACUGUAGAACUGCACUUGAAACUUCUAAUCUAGAGUAUGGGAGGGGGAGAUGGAAUUAGUGGUGUAGGGGUAAAAUCCGUAGAUAUCACUAGGAAUACCUAAAGCGAAGGCGAUCUCCUGGAACAUUACUGACGCUAAGGCGUGAAAGCGUGGGGAGCAAACAGGAUUAGAUACCCGAGUAGUC
rnacentral:rRNA from 1 species